AGAGAGAGAGAAGGAGAAAGGGAGAGAAAGGGGGGCACAACACACAGUUAAGGUUUGAUGACAGAGGAGAAGGAUGGUCAUAUAUCCCUAGGACUUAAAGAGAGGAGACUGAUUGUUCUGACAGAGAAGAUGUGCUGGCUGCCGAUAGACCAGCCUCUGCUCCUGCCCGGUGACUCCACCUGCAGCUCCCGCGGACCCUCACCGUGCUCCGUGGCUCAGCUGCUCGCCUCCCGCCUGAGAAGGAUCGGGGACCAGCUGGAGAAGAGCUGGACGGCCGGCGAGACGGAGAACAGCUUCAGCUGCGGAGUCAGAGGGACGGUGGUGGUGGUGACCGGGCGAGGACACCUGAGGAGCCUCCUGCGCACUGCUAUACACUUCACCGUGCUCGUGCUGGUGGUCGUGAGGAGACACCUGUAGGGCGUGAUGAGGCAACACCAGCAACAGAUGGUGCCUUUAGGACCAUGCAUGAGGAGCGGACAUAUUUGUACUGAAAGCAGGAGAUGGAGAGUAGGAGAGCCGGAGGAUGUGGUGCAGGAGGAGGAGGAGGUGUGCAUCGAUGAAAAGACAGAGGAAGAAGAAAAUAAAGGAGGAUUAAAUGCACAUUUCAGGGUCAGGAUCCUGUGUCUGAAUGAGCUCCAUGCGUCGCAGAGACUUGCUCAGGCUGAAUGUGGACGCACUGAGUUUUCUAAGGAGCUGACACACUGAACCCCAGCCGCCCUGCAGUCAGUCAGCUGCACGUCCUGCCCCCUGCGUGACUCUCCCAUUCUGUCAUCCCGGUUACAAAACGGUGAUGUAAUCCUCCCCUGGUAGAGUGGAGGGAAAAGCUUACUAAUAGGACUCCUUUGACUUUACACCUCCCACAAUGUGAGUGCAUCAAUUGCAGGGGAGUUGAACGGUUUGACCUUCAAAUGUAUCGAAAAUGCACUUCAACAGACCUGUUUUUACACUUCACAAUGCACCAUACUUUUUAACAUAAGCUAUACUAAGUGUACAAAUGUGAAUAAAAAGAGGAUGACUGUUUUUAUA